GAAACAAACAUUAAUCAAAACCUUAUAAUGUAUAUUCACAACCAUUUGAUUGUUUCUCUGUGGUACCUAAUCUUGUUUUGAGUAAGAUUUUAGCACCACACCUGUUUUGAUUAUGGUACAAAAUCUUACUCAAAAGAAGAUCAAACGUGAUCAUGACCGUCGAGAUAAAUCAAACGUGAUCGUGGCCGCCCAGAUAAUCAUACACUGAAAUAUUCAACGGCUCCACUUGAUCAGCUCCAUUCUCGUAAUACGUCGUCGUAUCUCCGCAUCCAGAGUUCACGCUGGUACUGUGGACGAUUCCGGCGUCAAUGGCCAUGCCGGCGUUAGAAGCAGCUUGCUGGAUAGAUCUCGGAGAAGUUCUGGAAACGAGUGAAGGAUUAAGCAAAUGAGGGAAAUUGAGAGAUUCUAAAGAAUCAGGUUGGUGUAAACAGAAGAAAGCAACGUCGUGUGCUACGGCGGCACCUUCUGCUGUUGAGAAUGAACCUAACCAGAGACGGUCACGAGUUCCCGGAACUCUAAUCUCUGAUACCCAUUUGCCCCAUUUCCGACGACGGAUUCCUUUGUACUUUGACUGACUUUCACCGGUGGAUUCUCUGUAAUCCAUUUUUUGUUGUUGUAUGAUGAUCGAUGUGAAGAAGAAGAAGAAGAAGAAGAG
rnacentral:lncRNA from 1 species